UAUUUUUCUAUUGAUCAACCUUCAAGAUUUAUGAGGUAAUAAAAAAUCUUGAACAUGAAACUGAUAUUGGUAACUUGUUAUCUCAGGAUUAGAGUUGUGCUCCACCACCAAAUAUCAGGUACUGAUGUGCAGUAUACAUUGUCAUGCAUUCAGCAAGCUGUAACUGGAGUCCAUGAUUGCAACGGCGACUUGAAAGAAAUUUCUGUCUAAAAUGAUUUAGUGUUUGUGUAUGCCAUGCUCUAAAUUUCAAGGACAUAAAACUUACUGAAUCACCCUUGAGUCUCUCUGAGUGAGACUUUUUCAGUAAGAAACUGCAUUGUAUGUUGAAUGUUUUAGAAUAAUUAUGGUUUGCCUGGUUUUGGCUUUUGUUACUGUGAAACUGAAUGAAAUGUCGAAUGCUGCUUCUACAUUUCUAAAUUUAA